AAACUGCGAUAAGUAGUGUGAAUUGCAUUUAGUGAAUCAUCGAAUCUUUGAACGCACCCUGCACUCACUGGUAUUCCGCUGAGUACGCCUGUUUCAGUAUCAUUGAAAACACACAAUCAAAACAUUUUCUUUGGUUUGAUUGGCUUUGGGUCUAUCAAAAAGUUUGGCUUGUUUCUUACAAGCCAAGCGGCCUGAAAUAUAUUGUCUGGCUAAUUGCAUCGUUGAUGAUCGCUAUUAGACUUUGGCUUUUUUAAAUGAACUGGAGGUUGAUUAACCAGUUUUAGCAUUAGUCAAAUGGUCAUUGUAAAAAAAAUCUCGAUCUUGGCUAGGUGUUUAUAGCCGAAAAUUUUUUUUUGGCUAUAACCGAAACCAAUAUAAUCACAUUUAGUUAUCGAUCUGAAAUCAGGUGGGACUACCCGCUGAACUUAAGC
rnacentral:misc_RNA from 1 species